UUCGAUUGGCGGACGGGUGAGUAAUAUAUAGUUAACCUGCCCUCGAGAAAGGAAUAACAGUUGGAAACGACUGCUAAUGCCCUAUAUGCCUUUAAGACAUAAGUCUGCAAGGGAAAUGCUUUUGUGCUCGAGGAUGGGACUGUACGGUAUCAGAUAGUUGGUGGGGUAAUGGCCUACCAAGUCAAUGACGCCUAACUGGUUUGAGAGGAUGAUCAGUCACACUGGAACUGAGACACGGUCCAGACUCCUACGGGAGGCAGCAGUGGGGAAUAUUGCACAAUGGAGGAAACUCUGAUGCAGCAACGCCGCGUGGAGGAUGACACAUUUCGGUGCGUAAACUCCUUUUAUAUAGGAAGAUAAUGACGGUACUAUAUGAAUAAGCGCCGGCUAACUCCGUGCCAGCAGCCGCGGUAAUACGGAGGGCGCAAGCGUUACUCGGAAUCACUGGGCGUAAAGAGCGUGUAGGCGGAUAGAUAAGUCAGAAGUGAAAUCCUAUGGCUCAACCAUAGAACUGCUUUUGAAACUGUUUAUCUAGAGUGUGGGAGAGGUAGAUGGAAUUUCUGGUGUAGGGGUAAAAUCCGUAGAGAUCAGAAGGAAUACCGAUUGCGAAGGCGAUCUACUGGAACAUAACUGACGCUGAGACGCGAAAGCGUGGGGAGCAUACAGGAUUAGAUACCCUGGUAGUCCACGCC
rnacentral:rRNA from 1 species